GUCACUAAGCAAAAGAGGUGAAAUGUUCAUUUUGACCCUAAGAAGAUCUUUUUGGAGUUUAAAAUAAAACUUGAGAUUUUAUAUGCAAACUUAAAUUUUUGCCCAAAUAAGAGUUGUAAAACAUUUAAUUUCAAACAACUUUUGUUAAAGAAACUUUGACUAAUUCGGAGUGGGAGAAGGUCAAAAACAGGAGUCAAAACAGAAAUAUUAUAGAACCCUAUAAACCACCAAGUCCUGGAAUUUGAGUUUUCCUUCAAAUUUACAACCUGUUAUCUCACAAAUUCAUAUCUAACGUCAAUUCCGGCCUUUAAUAACAGUUGUAGUCCCUUGAGUGUGUUCCAUUUUUGUUACACUGACCUAGGUCCAAAUCGAAUCUGAACCUGCUCAAAAUCUUGAUCAAAGUCGGG
rnacentral:lncRNA from 1 species